rnacentral:sRNA from 1 species
CUAUGUGUGCAGGUGUCUUCAAAAUACAGAAGAUGUCAGUUCCCCUUGAGCUGGAGUUACAGGCAGUUGUAAGCUUCUGCUGUUGGUGCUAAGAAGGAAAUCUGGGUCCUCUAGAAGAGCAGCUCGUAACUGCUAAGCCGUAUCUCCAGUCCCCAGAACACGCAAUUAUUACAGUUACAAGCAAUAUUUGAUACUUCCACUGUUAAAAAGUACUCCAGAGCAAAAGAUGAAUGGGUGGAAGUCGAAGAGAUCACAUUGAGAGAGAUAAUCCCGAUCCAGAAAGGCCAGGAUCUCAUUUGCUCUCAUCUUUGACUCCUAGUUGCAAAACUUCAAGUGAUGAUGGUGUACAUCUACAGUUCAAGCUGUAUCAGAGGUUGACAGAGGAUAACACAGUUGCGGCCAGUUUGGACAACUUGAAUUAAUCAUCAAAGGACUCCGAAGUGGAUGGAUGAAAUUGUCAGUUCAAGGAAAUGAAGACA